UGCAGUCGAGCGGAUGAGUGGAGCUUGCUCCAUGAUUCAGCGGCGGACGGGGGAGUAAUGCCUAGGAAUCUGCCUGGUGGUGGGGGACAACGUUUCCAAAGGAACGCUAAUACCGCAUACGUCCUACGGGAGAAAGUGGGGGAUCUUCGGACCUCACGCUAUCAGAUGAGCCUAGGUCGGAUUACCUAGUUGGUGAGGUAAAGGCUCACCAAGGCGACGAUCCGUAACUGGUCUGAGAGGAUGAUCAGUCACACUGGAACUGACACACGGUCCAGACUCCUACGGGAGGCAGCAGUGGGGAAUAUUGGACAAUGGGCGAAAGCCUGAUCCAGCCAUGCCGCGUGUGUGAAGAAGGUCUUCGGAUUGUAAAGCACUUUAAGUUGGGAGGAAGGGCAGUAAGUUAAUACCUUGCUGUUUUGACGUUACCAACAGAAUAAGCACCGGCUAACUUCGUGCCAGCAGCCGCGGUAAUACGAAGGGUGCAAGCGUUAAUCGGAAUUACUGGGCGUAAAGCGCGCGUAGGUGGUUCGUUAAGUUGGAUGUGAAAGCCCCGGGCUCAACCUGGGAACUGCAUCCAAAACUGGCGAGCUAGAGUAUGGCAGAGGGUGGUGGAAUUUCCUGUGUAGCGGCGAAAUGCGUAGAUAUAGGAAGGAACACCAGUGGCGAACGCGACCACCUUGGGGCUUAUACUGACACUGAGUUGCGAAAGCGAGGGGAGCAAAACAGGGAUUAAGAUAACCC
rnacentral:rRNA from 2 species